ACCUUCUCCAUGUCAUUCCAACCUCAAGACUUCCCAAUCCUACGUGCUCUCAUCUACUCACUCUAAAUCCAGUAACAGAGACUCUCAUCCCCGAUCAUAUCCAUCUACCUACAGUUUCGGCUACAAACGGCCCCCUUCCUCCACAUCUCAUCUUCUUCCCCUCGCGGCGGCUACCAUUCCAGAUCCAACUCCUCCUCCGACCAGCAGAAGAGCCGCCACCACACCCGUCACCCUCACAAGGGCUCGGCGUUGAGGAACCGCAGCUCCAAGAGGCGCGGCGAGCGCUCGGGGAGGGAGGUUGGGGCUCGCCACACGCAGACGCUGCAAACAGCCGCCUGGAGCUAGACGUGCAGCUCUACCUGCAGUGGAGGAAGGAGUUCCAAGACUGGUACGACAAAUGCUACGCCCACUUCCACCAGCUGCCCUUCCCUCCUCCUCCUCUUCCUCCUCAUCCUCAGGAGUCUCACGAUUCAGGUCGGAACAAUGGCAGGACGAACAACCGCUCGCCUUUGUCCGAGCGCUCCAGCUUCAGCCGCUCCCCUUCCUCUCAGUCCUUGACUGACAGCCGCUCCACCACGUCCUGCACAUCCAGCAGCAGCUGCUCUGAUAAGGCCAGCGAAGGUCACUCCCCUCCCUCUCGGACGUCCAGCGGCGGUCGCCGCACGCCAUCGGACGACAAAUCCCAGCUGAGGGAACUUCCAGAGAAGAAUACAGCAAUACCUCAACAAAAAACAGGCGGGAAGCAACAGCUCAGCCCACAGACUCACAACCGAAGGGAUGAAAAGGUGUUUCAGAGCCGAGGGCGGGACAGGGCUUCAUCUCCAGAUCAGAGCAAAGGAGAGAAUCAAACUGAAACAACCAGCAGGAAUCCUUCAGACUCAGUCCAGCCUCUCAUGAAACUGGAAAAACCUUUAGACAAAAAGAGAGAGCAGGAAAAAAAAUCCAAAGAAGGCAAGAGUUUGCAAAGAAACCAAAGCAGGAAGAGAGAAAGCAAAGAAAAAGAACGGGAGGAGAAAAAUCAAAGAAUUAAAAGCAACUCAAAGAGUGAAACAGGAAGUGCAGAACAAAAGAAAAUAAUAAUGAGAAAAAGAAAAAGGGAAGACUCAGAGAAUCUUGAAAGGAGAAGUGGACCUCAAAGCAGCACAUCCCAGAAAACCACAGAAAACCCUGAAAGCAACAGAAACAAGAAGUCUCCAACUCCUUCUGAUAGGAAGAAGAAAAAUGUAGAGAAGAAGGAGAGAACAUCUUUGACAGAGAAAGACAUCUGGGAAGGAGGGAUGAAAGUGAUGCCCCAGAAGAAGAUAAGCAUCAACAUCAACUUGGAAGGAAAAGUGAAGGAGAGAAAUGACGAAGAAAAAUCCUCCGGUUUUGACAUGAAUGUUGAGGAAAAGACAGCGGAGGCUGACGGAGGAGAAGAGAAUCAGGAUGGAGAGGAAGCAGAAGACAGAACGGAUGAACUGAAAGACUCAAAUCCGGAAGAUAAAGAGCAAAUCAAAUCGAAUGAAAAGAAAGCUUCAGAUAAGGAGGAAGAGUGCAGAAAAAAGUUGGAAGAAGAGCAAAGCCACACCGAAAAGGAAGAUCUUGAUUUGUGGCACUGCGCCCUCUAUACUGCAGGAGAGGAUGAGACGGGAGAAGAAACAGCCGAGCGAGUAGGGGAUGAAAAAGGUGACGAUUUAGUCCAAGAAAGAAAAGCUGAACCAAGGAACAGAGAGGCUGCAGGGAAAUCCACGUCAAAGAGUCUCCACCAGGGGCAGAAGAAGAGCCGGGAUGAUGGGAGCUGUGGAGGAGGGGGCCGUCUGGAAAAGAAGAGGACAGGGAAAAUGGAGGAGGAAAACGGGCAGGAGCGAGAUGAAGCCAUGCAGAGUGAUAGCACGAAGGUUCCUUGUGUUGAUGAGCAGAAGAUUGAAGAGAAGGUUGAAGGACAGAUCAAAGCGGACUCUAGUUCUCCCGCUGCGGUUCCUCCUGAUCCUUCAGAACCAAAGAACAACAUGGAAACGGGGGAGCAGAGUAAACAACGGGAGCAGCAAAGAGGGAGGGAUAAGGAUUUGGCUCCCUCUAGUGGCAGGAAGAGGAGCUUGAGCCCAAACCGAGAUGAAGAAAGAAGGGAGAGAAACAGCAGAAGGAGGGAGAAUGACACCCAACAGGAAAGCACGCGAUCAAAACCUGGAACAAGAGAAGAGGAAAGAAGAAAAUCCACCUCUGUGCCAAAGAUAAAUCUGCCCUCUUUAUUGUCACAGGAAGUAGAAAAGAGGGAGCAGCAGCAGUAUAGAGGUGGCCAUUCUAGUAGAAAAACUUCUUGCACCUACAAAGAAAAGGAAAGCGGCUCUGUUGGUGAAGUGAGCAGCCUCCCUUAUCACGGUGCAUCCAAAACGCAGAGAGACAACGACCGCAUUCCGCCGCGCCACCUACCACCCAUCAAUCAGCCAAAGAGAAGCUCGAAGCCACCACUCUCCACCUCCCCUCUUUCACUUCGAUUCCUUCGGGGGCCUUCCCCGGGGGGGCCCCGACUGGCCCCCGACGCAGCGCAAAAGUCGAAACGAGAAAGGAGAGCGCAGGUCAGACGGUGGUCAGUCAGCGAGCAAAGAGCGGAGGAGUCGAAGAGAUGAGGAGGAGAGGCAGCGACCCGCCAGGAGCGGCGACGCUCGCUCAUCAGAGAGCAGUCGAGGGAGGAGGCACAAGAGGGAAACGUCGCACAACUGCAGGAGCGGCCAGACGCGGGAAACGCAAAUGUGAUGAGCAGAAUAAAAUGAAGAAAAGACCAAAACGUUUACUUAAUGUUUUUCCUUUCCCCAACCAUCAAGUGCCUGUUUCUAUUUCAUUAGCUUUAGUUUCUUUAUUUCAUCUGCUCAGAUCUUGACAAAUACAAAAACUAUAAAGGUGAACGCACUUUACGGAACACACGACCCCCGUGAGUUUAAUUUAAAAGAAUUUGCAAGGGCGCCACUUCCUUUUUUUAGUACCUUGGGUUCCGCAAGGUUCCAGCUGGAAUGUGAAGAACGCUGACGGAAACGGUCAGUAAUUUGAUUUGCCUGUCAUGGGUUGUGAAUCCGCCACCAUCCAAGAAAGCUGUGAUUUAUUUCUGGGAGUGCUUAUGAUUUCAGCCACUGUACUUGAAUUUUUUUUUUUCUUUCUUUGCUUUUGUAAGUGUUUGUUUUAAUUACAGCUGCUGACCAGAAUAAUAAUUUAUGAGAGGACUGUUUAUUUCCUGAAUUUGAGGAUAUAUAAAGAAAAACAUGCAAAUCAGCAUUUGCUGUGUUUGUCUUUAUUGCGCCAUCUGUUGGUGAUGCAACUUAAAACUUUUUUUUAGAACUGGAGGUCACUUCUUGGAAUAUUCAUCAGAAAUCUCUGGAAAACGACACACGUUUUGUUUAACUAUGUCCCCCAGCAUUCCUGGACUGCAAGGACCAGAAUGUUUUUGCCAUUUAUUUUUUCUUUUAACUGCACCUUUGUGCAAAGAUUUUGCC
ensembl:lncRNA